rnacentral:misc_RNA from 1 species
AUGUCCAACCUCCGAAGUUCUGCAUUUCACUUAAUCCAUUCACAGUCUCUCGACCUGCUUGCUGUUGUGCGUCUCUCCUUUUCUAAAUUAGGGUUUCUUGCGGAUUCUUUCUGUCUUAGACGCUUAUAACGCUGACACAAGGAAGCGGCUAGGCUUUUGAGUUUCAGAAGAGAGAAAGUAGCUGCCAUGGAGAGCCCUAAAGAAGAGGCACCGGUUGUGAUUCUGGAUCGACUUUCUAGGGCAUCCAGAGGAAAACGGAUGAACAAGUUGCUUGAUGAGGAAAUUGAAGAGGACGAGUUGUUCUGGAAUCAGGAUGCUCUAAAAGAGGUUCCUACUUUAAUAGCCUGUUUUUCAUUUCUGUUUGUUAUUUACAUUUUUAAUUCUAAUGCUCUGUAUAUACUGUUAAGAUCCCAUUGGUUUGGGAUAGGGAUAGGGUAAUAUAAUUACGGCCUUAUAUGGCCUUGCACCCUUGAGCUAACUUUGGAGGGAGUUAGGCCCGGUCCAUUUUCUUAAGACUGUAUCAGAGGCUCCCAACCAAUGUUGGGGCCUCCUGUAAGCAUUUCAUGCUUCGGUGUUUGGUCAUGGGCAUGAGGGGGCGUGUUAAGAUCUCACAUUGAUUUGCGAUAGGGUAAUGUGCCCUUAUAUGGCCUUGGACAUUCCUCCCCCCUGAGCUAACUUUUGGAGGUGAGUUAGGUCCAGUCCAUUUUCUUAAGAUAUACCCUUUUGGUUCAAAGUUUGUGCUUUGUUUAUUAUGCAUUUGUUUUUUAAGAUUCCCUUUGCUUAGGAGAAUAAUGUGGCUCAAAUUGUAUCUGGAGUAAUAAAACAGAUUGUUAAAUAAGAUUAUACUCAUGAUCUUUAUCUUCUGUUCUUGUUUAUAUCUUUCUAGGAAGAAAAUGAUACUAAUUAUGAAGAAGAGCCAGAAGUCGCGGAUGAGUUUGAUAGUGAUUUUGAUGAUGAUUAAGCAUGAAUACCACCUUCUGUUGGUGCUAGGAGCCUGAACCAGAUGAAGAAGCAGAAAAUGUUGCUGAUGAAAGGACACAGACAAAGAAACGGCUUAUAUUUCCUGGAAAGCCUUCAACAAAGAAGAAAAAGAAGAAGAAAAAGAGAAAAGGUCAAAGCCUGAGGUACAUGAUGAAGAUGCGGAGGACAGUGGACAGGGCGAAGAAGAGGAAGAGGACGAUGAAGACGAAGAGGAUGAAGAUGAGGAAGAUGAUUGAAGCUAUGUAAUUUCUGGCUUGCACCGUUUCCUUGGUCCAUCACAUGCACACUUCAAACAUAAUAGUUUUCGUAAUUCUGUUACCUAAACCUAUGUAUUUUCUGUUACCUAGUUGAGUUUUGCAGUUUGCUGAAACUCUUAACUCUUGUGAAC